CAGGUGAGGCUAAAACAACUGUCGCACCUUUUGUACAAGGUGGCGUUAGUGAUGGCCAGUGGCAUUCAGUUCAGCUUCACUAUUACAACAAGAGAAUUGGCGAGUGAGCAGAAUUCAAUCAGCGAGCGCAAGCACUGAACACUCUGGUGUUUUGACUGCUAAACACUUCAAAUUGGGCUGCAUCAGGUUGCACUGCACAGACGCAGGCGACGUCAAUUCCUCAAGCCCGACUUGCAGCAUUGAGUUUGAAUUUAGAAGAUGACAAUUCAACUCAAACAAAGUUAAGUCUGACACAGAGAAAAGGACCAAUGUGUGUACUUCUAACAUGUUGGUUGGUAAAAUGUUGUAAUUCAAAUCAGAGCAUCUUCCGUGUCUGGAAUGGAUGUAUUCUUGAGUCUAUAAGGUAACAAUAAUAUAAUAUGAUAACCUUGUUUGAAAUGAGUUUGGCUAAAUGAAAAUGUGGGUUUUGUCUAUACUACUAGGUAACUUACUUAUACUACAUUGACUGAGUUAAACAGAUUUGCAUUGCUAAAAAGAGACUAAAAUACAAUUUUCAUUGACUAAAACUAGACUAAAUGUCAUUAGUUUUUUUUUCAACUAAAACUAGACGAAAAUAAUCAUGGAUUAUUCUGACUAAAAUAAAAACUAAAAUGCUCCGGCUUUUAGUUGAC